rnacentral:rRNA from 1 species
UACGGAGGGUGCAAGCGUUGCUCGGAUUUACUGGGCGUAAAGCGCGCGCAGGUGGGUGUACAAGUCGGAAGUGAAAUCCCAGGGCUCAACCCUGGGGCUGCUCCCGAAACUGUACGCCUAGGGACUGGUAGAGGCUGGUAGAAUUCCCGGUGUAGCGGUGGAAUGCGUAGAGAUCGGGAAGAAUACCCGUGGCGAAGGCGGCCAGCCGGGCCAGGUCCGACACUGAGGCGCGAAAGCGUGGGGAGCAAACAGG